rnacentral:rRNA from 1 species
AACGAACGCUGGCGGCAUGCCUAACACAUGCAAGUCGAACGAACCCUUCGGGGUGAGUGGCGCACGGGUGCGUAACACGUGGGAACCUGCCCUUAGGUUCGGAAUAACACAGAGAAAUUUGUGCUAAUACCGGAUAAUGUCUUCGGACCAAAGAUUUAUCGCCUUUGGAUGGGCCCGCGUAGGAUUAGCUAGUUGGUGAGGUAAAGGCUCACCAAGGCGACGAUCCUUAGCUGGUCUUAGAGGAUUAUCAGCCACACUGGGACUGAGACACGGCCCAGACUCCUACGGGAGGCAGCAGUGGGGAAUAUUGGACAAUGGGCGAAAGCCUGAUCCAGCAAUGCCGCGUGAGUGAUGAAGGCCUUAGGGUUGUAAAGCUCUUUUACCUGGGAUGAUAAUGACAGUACCAGGAGAAUAAGCCCCGGCUAACUCCGUGCCAGCCGCCGCCGUAACAC